UACGUAGGGUGCGAGCGUUACUCGGAAUUACUGGGCGUAAAGCGUGCGCAGGCGGUUGUGCAAGACAGAUGUGAAAUCCCCGGGCUCAACCUGGGAACUGCAUUUGUGACUGCACGGCUGGAGUGCGGCAGAGGGGGAUGGAAUUCCGCGUGUAGCAGUGAAAUGCGUAGAUAUGCGGAGGAACACCGAUGGCGAAGGCAAUCCCCUGGGCCUGCACUGACGCUCAUGCACGAAAGCGUGGGGAGCAAACAGG
rnacentral:rRNA from 1 species